UAGAAGUCGUAGUGUUUAGAU
rnacentral:siRNA from 1 species